rnacentral:misc_RNA from 1 species
AACCUAGCACACCUGCGGUGUGUACCUGCGGAAGGAUCAUUACACAAAUUAAAAUAUGAAGGCUUCGGCUGGAUUAUUUUUAUCACCCUUGUCUUUUGCGCACUUGUUGUUUCCUGGGCGGGUUCGCCCGCCACCAGGACCACACCAUAAACCUUUUUUAUGCAGUUGCAAUCAGCGUCAGUAUAACAAAUGUAAAUCAUUUACAACUUUUAACAACGGAUCUCAGAUCGGAAGAGCACA